rnacentral:lncRNA from 1 species
UGCAGGCCUGCAAUCCUAGCAAUCAGGAGGCUGAGGCAGGAGGAUUGAGGUGUGCUAAAGCUAGCCUGGGCUACAUAGUGAGACCCUGUCUCGAGAAACAAUAAAAGUUUCCAUGAGUCCCUCUCAGAAGCCUGCCCAUCACUUCAGAAACACCCAUCACUCUUGCCACAGUCUGAAGCAGCUCUGGUCCUCUUUCUCUAGUGCCUUCAGUUGUGCUGUUGGGGCCACCUUCACGUCCCGAACCAACUCAGAACGUUUCUGUUUGGGGGAAGCCGGAAGUCGCACUGUGCCGGAUGGGGGAGGGCGCCUGGAUGUGCCAGGUGGGUGAGGGCCCAGAGUGACGUCUCUCCCAGACUGCUGGACAGCGGCAUUCACCACAUUUUUGAUCACACCUUGUAAAGAUACUGGCACGUGGUGAAAAAUGGAAACAACUCACGUGCCCACCGUGAAUGGAUAAUAAAAUACGAUAUGCGCUCAGGUUCCGGGGUCAGAUGCGGACACAUUGGAAAGGCCAUUGUUCUGCCAACCACAGCAUCUUGUGUCUGUGCCCAGAGGAACUUGGACGUGGGACCCUCACGGCCAGCCGGUUCUGUGUCCUUUGGGCUGGGUCGCAGUGCCACGCACACUGUAGCGCCUGCCUUCCUCUGAGUCGCCGCACGUCAAGGCGAUGUUGAAGCCUUGUCCCCCGUUGCUGGUUCUGCUCACUGCAUUCCUGUCCCAGUCCAGGGAGGUCCCUGCAGGGCUGUCCUCAGGGCCCCGGCUCCAGGACGCAGCGGCCAGGACUGCAGGCUCUGACGCCUUCCCGGGGCUCCUCUCUGACCUCCCCGCUUUACUCGUGCUCUGCACGGCUGCUUCCCCGUUUGUGGCUAUGCCCAACUCGGUGCCCAGAUCCUCUGCGUCCUGCCCCGCACGCUGGCGCUUUAUCCUCCUGGCUGCCCGGCCAGGGUCACACAGUGCCACUCCUUGUGCUGGUGUUGAGUGGGGGACAAGAGCAGCGCCAGAGGCAGGAGGAGGAGGAGGAGCAGCAACAGCAGCAGCAGUGGAGCCUCUCCCCACAAGGAGUACAAUCACUGCUCGUUAAAAGCCUGCACUGAUUAAACCCGAAGCGGGGCGUGGUGCACACUCCGGAGGCUGGAGGAGAUCACCGAGAGUUUGAGCCACACCUGGGCUACCUAGCAAGGCCACGUCUCAGAGACCAAAAAUCAAUGAAGUUCAGUGGUCCCCACCCUCAUGCCGAGGAGCCGUCCUCCCCCGCAGCACUUCCCACCCCGGGAUGGAGUAUCUUCCUGGCUGCAGCCCUGGGGCUGAGACACAGAUGCUCACAGGGGGCAUGGUUCCCUCACAUCCACACCCUGGCUCUCUGGAGCGCCAGUGCUGCACCCCCAAACCUGCACCCAGCUCCCCAAACUGUGCCCUUGGCCCACUGUCC